GAACAAGAGAACGUGGAAAAGGGAGGUUUUUCCGAGGUUGUUUGUAGGUGAGUUGAGGAGCAGAAUCUGUCGAAGAAAUUGGAAUUUCAUCGUCUGUUGUGUGUGUUAACACCUUUGAGAAUCCCACUCCCAUGACUCUAUCUUUCAGGCAAACUGAAGCUGUUUCUGCCUUACAUGUUCUUUUUUGUAAUGUGAUUAUUUGGCAUUUCCACUUUCUGCUUUUCUUCUUUACUUCCAUCAGUGGCAAGAAUAUCAGCAUCCCUUCCCGUCUGGAUAAUCAAUCAGUUAUAUGAAUGAGACUUUUUUACAUGUUAAAAUUAAAUUAUACACUUUUUUAUAAUUUAUGAAAAUUUCAAUUUUUAUAUUUUUUAUGAAUAGUAUUGAAAUUUUUAUUUAAAUGUGAUAUAAGUAUCUGAGUCUCUUUUAAAAUUUUAAACCUUUCUAUAUUUGUUGCCUAGUUUUAUAAGAAAUGUGUUUAAUAAUUCAAAUAGAAAUAGCUAAAAAUAAUAAGUGUCAUGUUAAAUUUGUCAUAAUUAAAAAAAAAAAUAGUAUUCCGUUUUCUCUGGCCAUGUAUAAAUUAUCAACACGAAUUUAAUAGGUAUAAAGUUAACAUAUUUAAUGUUUUAAAAUUUUCUCCAUUAUUUUAACUAUUCCUUUCUACUCAGUUUACUGUAUUAUUUUCACCGACAAAAUAACAUUAAUACUCUACUAUAAGUAUAUCUUUUAAUUACAUAUAAAAAGCUGCAUACAUACAUGUUGAAAUUCUAAACAUUAGAAAAAAUAAACUGAAUCAAGAAAAGUUUUGAAAGUUUUAAAACAUUUUUUUUUCUAAAUAUUUCUCGUAUCAAAUAACAAUCAUAAAGUUAUCAAUAGCAGAAUUUAGAUUAUAGUUUUAUUUAUUUUGCACAUAUUGCAGUUUAUUCAAUAGAAGCUUUACAAAGUUUGGCAUAGAGUGGGAAUGCCAUGAAGAAAAUACACACAUUCACACAUUCAAAGGUGAUUCAAUCAUCAGCAGCAAGCAGCAAACAGCAAGAAAAAUCCAGAAACCGAUUUGUUUUGAUGCCACACAGCACAACACAAUACAGCUAUCGUGGUUUCUCCUUCUCAUCAUUAUCCAGAAUCCCUUUUCUCAUCAUUGCCAC
rnacentral:lncRNA from 1 species